rnacentral:rRNA from 1 species
GACAGAGGGGGCAAGCGUUGCUCGGAAUCACUGGGCGUAAAGGGCGCGUAGGCGGGAUGGCAAGUCAGUCGUGAAAUCUCUCGGCUCAACCGAGAAACGUCGGCUGAUACUGCCGUUCUUGAGGGAUGCAGAGGAGACUGGAAUUCCCGGUGUAGCGGUGAAAUGUGUAGAGAUCGGGAGGAAUACCGGUGGCGAAAGCGACUCUCUGGACGGCAACUGACGCUGAGGCACGAAAGCGUGGGGAGCAGACAGG